rnacentral:rRNA from 1 species
CAGUAGCCGCGGGAAUACAGAGGGUGCGAGCGUUAAUCGGAUUUACUGGGCGUAAAGCGUGCGUAGGUGGUGGUUUAAGUCCGUUGUGAAAGCCCUGGGCUCAACCUGGGAAUUGCAGUGGAUACUGGGUCACUAGAGUGUGGUAGAGGAUAGUGGAAUUUCCGGUGUAGCAGUGAAAUGCGUAGAGAUCGGAAGGAACAUCUGUGGCGAAGGCGACUAUCUGGGCCAACACUGACACUGAGGCACGAAAGCGUGGGGAGCAAACAGGAUUAGAUACCCCCGUAGUCCCUGUCUCUUAUAC